CAGGCCUAACACAUGCAAGUCGAGCGGGCCCUUCGGGGUCAGCGGCGGACGGGUGAGUAACGCGUGGGAACGUGCCCUCUGGUUCGGAAUAACUCAGGGAAACUUGAGCUAAUACCGGAUACGCCCUUUUUGGGGAAAGGCUUGCUGCCGGAGGAUCGGCCCGCGUCUGAUUAGCUAGUUGGUGGGGUAACGGCCUACCAAGGCGACGAUCAGUAGCUGGUCUGAGAGGAUGAUCAGCCACACUGGGACUGAGACACGGCCCAGACUCCUACGGGAGGCAGCAGUGGGGAAUAUUGGACAAUGGGCGAAAGCCUGAUCCAGCAAUGCCGCGUGAGUGAUGAAGGCCUUAGGGUUGUAAAGCUCUUUUACCCGGGAUGAUAAUGACAGUACCGGGAGAAUAAGCUCCGGCUAACUCCGUGCCAGCAGCCGCGGUAAU
rnacentral:rRNA from 1 species